UGGCGACCGGCGCACGGGUGAGUAACACGUAUCCAACCUGCCGAUGACUCGGGGAUAGCCUUUCGAAAGAAAGAUUAAUACCCGAUGGCAUAGCUCUUCCGCAUGGUAGAACUAUUAAAGAAUUUCGGUCAUCGAUGGGGAUGCGUUCCAUUAGGUUGUUGGCGGGGUAACGGCCCACCAAGCCUUCGAUGGAUAGGGGUUCUGAGAGGAAGGUCCCCCACAUUGGAACUGAGACACGGUCCAA
rnacentral:rRNA from 1 species